UUAUUAUUACACUUCCGCCGAGCGGGCAUUUUGCGCCACAUGGACGUCUGUCAGCACGAUUCUGGGACUGCCACUUCCCAAAAGGACCCAACCCCUGUGUCACACAACAACCAAGAUGGCUGGCUAGCUAGCUAGCAAGGAGCUAAUCUCUCAGAGACCAGUAAAGAGUUUUUUUUGCUUUCAGAGCCCUAUUUAACUGGCCUCCUCACUGAGAAAGAGAAGGAUGAGGUGCUGACAAAAGUCCAUGCUGGCCACUUUGGAGCCAAGAGGAUGCAGGACAAGGUCAACCAACGCUUGUACUGGAAGACAAUUACCAGAGAUGCUCAGGACUGGGCAAGUGUUCAAGUUGUGUUUGAUCCAGAUCAGCUCUAAUGUUUCCUGUGAAACGCUGAUGCCACUUGCACAUGAGAUUUAAAGAAUCAUUUAUAGUUAUUGCCUUAUAUAAGAAAUUGUUCAUUAAAACUACUGUGACACUCAAAGAAAAUCGUCUCUACUCUAGAGAAUAUUAUUAAAUAUGUUGUGUUUAAUCUCCU